rnacentral:rRNA from 1 species
UGGGAAUCUUGCGCAAUGGCGAAAGCCUGACGCAGCCAUGCCGCGUGAAUGAUGAAGGUCUUAGGAUUGUAAAUUCUUUCACCGGGGACGAUAAUGACGGUACCCGGAGAAGAAGCCCCGGCUAACUUCGUGCCAGCAGCCGCGGUAAUACGAAGGGGGCUAGCGUUGCUCGGGAUUACUGGGCGUAAAGGGAGCGUAGGCGGACAUUUAAGUCAGGGGUGAAAUCCCGGGGCUCAACCUCGGAAUUGCCUUUGAUACUGGGUGUCUUGAGUGUGAGAGAGGUAUGUGGAACUCCGAGUGUAGAGGUGAAAUUCGUAGAUAUUCGGAAGAACACCAGUGGCGAAGGCGACAUACUGGCUCAUUACUGACGCUGAGGCUCGAAAGCGUGGGGAGCAAACAGGAUUAGAUACCCUGGUAGUCCACGCCGUAAACGAUGAUUGCUAGUUGUCGGGAUGCAUGCAUUUCGGUGACGCAGCUAACGCAUUAAGCAAUCCGCCUGGGGAGUACGGUCGCAAGAUUAAAACUCAAAUGAAUUGACGGGGUCAUAGCUGUUUCCUG